rnacentral:rRNA from 1 species
CACUCCUGCGGGAGGCAGCAGUGGGGAAUUUUGGACAAUGGGCGAAAGCCUGAUCCAGCAAUGCCGCGUGAGUGAAGAAGGCCUUCGGGUUGUAAAGCUCUUUUGUCAGGGAAGAAACGGUGAGAGCUAAUAUCUUUUGCUAAUGACGGUACCUGAAGAAUAAGCACCGGCUAACUACGUGCCAGCAGCCGCGGUAAUACGUAGGGUGCAAGCGUUAAUCGGAAUUACUGGGCGUAAAGCGUGCGCAGGCGGUUUUGUAAGUCUGAUGUGAAAUCCCCGGGCUCAACCUGGGAAUUGCAUUGGAGACUGCAAGGCUAGAAUCUGGCAGAGGGGGGUAGAAUUCCACGUGUAGCAGUGAAAUGCGUAGAUAUGUGGAGGAACACCGAUGGCGAAGGCAGCCCCCUGGGUCAAGAUUGACGCUCAUGCACGAAAGCGUGGGGAGCAAGCAUGAUUAGAAACCCCAGUAGUCC